rnacentral:rRNA from 1 species
UACGUAGGGUGCGAGCGUUAAUCGGAAUUACUGGGCGUAAAGCGUGCGCAGGCGGUUCGUUGUGUCGGCGGUGAAAGCCCCGGGCUCAACCUGGGAAUGGCCGUUGAAACUGGCGAACUGGAGUGUGGCAGAGGGGGGUGGAAUUCCGCGUGUAGCAGUGAAAUGCGUAGAGAUGUGGAGGAACACCAAUGGCGAAGGCAGCCCCCUGGGAUAACACUGACGCUCAGGCACGAAAGCGUGGGGAGCAAACAGG